ACGGAGGGUGCGAGCGUUAUCCGGAAUUACUGGGUUUAAAGGGUGCGUAGGCGGAUUGAUUAGUCUGUGGUGAAAGUUUGUCGCUUAACGAUAAAAUUGCCACGGAUACUGUUGAUCUUGAAUUAGGUUGAGGAUAGCGGAAUGUGACAUGUAGCGGUGAAAUGCAUAGAUAUGUCAUAGAACACCAAUUGCGAAGGCAGCUAUCUGGGCCUAUAUUGACGCUGAGGCACGAAAGCGUGGGGAGCGAACAGG
rnacentral:rRNA from 1 species